rnacentral:rRNA from 1 species
ACACACGUGCUACAAUGGAUAGGAACAAAGAGAAGCGAGCUCGCGAGAGUCAGCCAACCUCAUAAAACUAUUCUCAGUUCGGAUUGUAGUCUGCAACUCGACUACAUGAAGCUGGAAUCGCUAGUAAUCGCGAAUCAGAAUGUCGCGGUGAAUACGUUCCCGGGUCUUGUACACACCGCCCGUCACACCACGAGAGUUUGUAACACCCGAAGACGGUGGCCUAACCUUUAAGGAGGGAGCCGGUCACGGUGGGACAGAUGAUUGGGGUGAAGUCGUAACAAGGUAGCCGUAUCGGAAGGUGCGGCUGGAUCACCUCCUUUCUAAGGA